GUUGUAGCCAUUAUUCCACUAUUUUUCUGAGUUUUCCUUGCUCUUUUGGAUUGCUAAGACCCGUCGACUGCUCGUGCUUCGGAGUCGGAUCAGGUUUAGUUGCUUGUCAAGUUUUCACGUGGAUUUGCAAGCAGGUUAUGAUCUGAGAGAGUCUGGUGAUCUCCGCAUUUACUUUUCUUCGGAGGUUCCAUUUAUUUUUGAUAAACUGUAAAACUGUUUUAUUCUUAGACCGCAGUAGUAACUAGACGUCUUUAUUAUUACUGUAUAUUUUGUCGGAUUGGUUCGACUGGUUAUAUUGCUUUGGCAUGAUUAUAAUACUUACAUUGAUUUAUGAUAAAUCUAUAUUAGUCUCGGAA